GGCCUAAUGGUCUAGAAGUAUGAUACUCGCUUUGGGUUGUGAACUGAUUGCGAGUGGUCCUGGGUUCAAUUCCCAGUUAGGCCC
rnacentral:tRNA from 1 species